AGACUUUCAGCGGCUUUGGAAUAGGGAACUCGUGACCCAGUGGCAGCUGCAACUUCCCAGCCUUGUUUUGCAGCCAGUGGACACGUCCUGCGAAGGGCCAUAACCCUGCUUUAGCAAGAGCUUUGGGGUGGAAAGGGGGGAAAAACCACCCACAGAGAAGAACAUGCCGGGUUUUCGGAAGACAUUCCGGUUCCUGAAUGCAGCGCUGAGGAAUCAGAUGGUUCCAAAAGCAAGCAUUGGAAGUAACCCACCGAAAGAGAUUGUAACUCCAGUCGAACAAGCCAUAGCACUGACUGUGAUGUUUACAGCAUUCUUGGGCCCAGCAUUUUGGAUUCUGGCCCACCUGGAUAAUUACAGGAAUCGGUCCAGUGACUGAAGGGCAAACAGGAGGAAUCAGCUUUGAACACAACAACAUAUGAGGCAAUGCUGAAAAAAAGCUUGAAGGUUUCUCUCACAGAAAGCUGCCCCUAGAGGUUUUUAUAAUUAAAAACCAUUGUUUAAAGCCAUA